rnacentral:rRNA from 1 species
GACCGCUGGCGGCAGGCCUUAGACUGCAAGUCGAGCGAGAACCUUCGGGUCUAGCGCGGACGGGUUCGAACGCGUGGGAACGUGCCCUUCUCUGCGGAAUAGCCACGGAAACGUUGAGUAAUACCGUAUACGCCCUUCGGGGAACGAUUUAUCGGAGAAGGAUCGGCCCGCGUUAAUUAGAUAGUUGGUGGGGUAAUGGCCUACCAAGUCUACGAUCUAUAGCUGGUUUUAGAGGAUGAUCAGCAACACUGGGCUGAGACACGGCCCAGACUCCUAAGGGAGGCAGCAGUGGGGAAUCUUAGACAAUGGGCGCAAGCCUGAUCUAGCCAUGCCGCGUGUGUGAUGAAGGUCUUAGGAUCGUAAACACUUUCGCCAGGGAUGAUAAUGACAGUACCUGGUAAAGAAACCCCGGCUAACUCCGUGCCAGCAGCCGCGGUAAUACGGAGGGGGUUAGCGUUGUUCGGAAUUAUGGGCGUAAAGCGUACGUAGGCGGAUCAGAAAGUAUAGGGUGAAAUCCCAGGGCCAACCCUGGAACUGCCUUGUAAACUCGUGCCUUGAGUUCGAGAGAGGUGAGUGGAAUUCCAAGUGUAGAGGUGAAAUUCGUAGAUAUUUGGAGGAACACGAGUGGCGAAGGCGGCUCACUGGCUCGAUCCUGACGCUGAGGUACGAAAGUGUGGGGAGCAAACCGGAUUAGUACCCUGGUAGUCCACACCUAAGCGAUGAAUGCCAGUGUCGGGCAGUAUACUCUUCGGUGACACACCUAACGGAUUAAGCAAUCCGCCUGGGGAGUACGGUCGCAAGAUUAAACUCAACGGAAUUGACGGGGGCCCGCACAACAGGUGGAGCAUGUGGCUUA